rnacentral:rRNA from 1 species
UUACAAUGGAGAGUUUGAUCCUGGCUCAGGAUGAACGCUAGCGGCAGGCCUAAUACAUGCAAGUUGAACGAGAUUGAGGAGCUUGCUCUUCAUGAAAGUGGCGCACGGGUGCGUAACGCGUAUGCAACCUACCUUAAUCAGGGGGAUAGCCCGAA